UACGGAGGGGGCUAGCGUUGUUCGGAAUUACUGGGCGUAAAGCGUGCGCAGGCGGUAAGUUAAGUCUGAUGUGAAAGCCCCGGGCUCAACCUGGGAAUGGCGAUGGAUACUGGCUCGCUAGAGUGCGGUAGAGGAGAGUGGAAUUCCCGGUGUAGCAGUGAAAUGCGUAGAGAUGCGGAGGAACACCAGUGGCGAAAGCGUUCUGCUAGACCUGUACUGACACUGAGGGACGAAAGCUAGGGGAGCGAAUGGG
rnacentral:rRNA from 1 species